AAAAAUCAUUACAGCCAGCCACCAUUUUUAGACGAUCUUCUUUUUCUUCCACAUUUCUUCUUUGUUGUGCUCUCUAAAUCAGGCCGUCAUGGUUCUUUGGUUUUUCCAUCCCCUGAUAAAGUAUUUCCUUGAUAAGUGAAUUUUCUCACUGCUUUGAUCGCUUCUCUAUUGAAUCGACCCAACUUUUUGAAAUACAUUCCCAUUUUAUUCAUCCCUAUUACUUUGAAACUUCCAAAAACCCUAAAUCUUUCUCAAAGGAGAUAGUCACCCCCCUUUUUUCAACAAAUUUUGCUGGAGAAAUAUAAUUAAUCAAAGCCUUCCCUGUCAAUUUCAACAGCCCUUGCUACCGCACUGGAUAGGCCAGAUCUAAGAUAAGUAUUUUCAUUUCCUUUUAAUCUUUCUUUUACUAAGAUAUAAGCAACUCUAUUCAUUUGUUUCCUUGCACGUUGAAAAAAACAAGUAACAAAGUUACUACAUAAUCAUUUAGCAUCAACAAUGUACGCUCUAAUUUCUGAUCUGUCUUCCUCCCGACUUUUUACUUUUCUAAUGAUAGUUAACGCAUUUUCCUCGACUUUAACUCGUAGGAAUCCAGAUUCUGCCCCAAAUUGAAUCGCUUGUACGCACGCGAGAGCUUCUGCUGCAAAUGUUGUUGGUAUGUGUUCAUUUCUGUAAAUUUUUGUUUUUAAGGCUUAACCUAAAGAGUUUCUUAUAACAAUCCCUAUACACGAUCUAUUGUUCUGUUUUUCAAAUGCAACAUCAAAAUUGAUUUUGACAUUCAUCUCAUUUGGUGGCCUCCAAUUCUCAUUAGCAAUUAUGUUGACAGGUAUCAUUCUAUAUACCCAUUCAAUUUCUUGUAUAUAGUCUAAAAUGAAUUGGGCAACUCUCGCUUCUGUUUGUGCCUUAUUCUUAUGUAUUAGCAAAUUUCUUGCUGACCAUAAGCCCAAUACAGUACAUAUAAUGCUUUUAAUCUGUCUGUUUCAUUUUUUUGAAUAAAUAACUGAUCUAGUCCUUAAAUUGUGCCUGAUUUUGUUCCAGGGGCCAUCCAAUUCCUAGCAUUUCCCAUAUUCCUGCUGCAAAAUAGCAGUCUUGAAAGACAUGCUCCCUGGUUUUUUCAUUAUUUCUGCAUCUUAGGCAAGUCGCAGAAUAUCAUAUCUUGCGUUGAAGCAAAUUAGAGAAAGUAGGAAGGAAAUUAUUUAAGGUCUUCCAUACUAGGAUUAUUAUUUUAGUUUGCAAGUUUUCCUUCCAUAAUUCGUUGUACAUGGGUUUGUAAGAAAUUUGAUUUUGCUGUAUGUUUGUUGAAAUUUUCGAUUGUAUUAAUUUUUUGUACCCACUGCGUACUGUAUAAACUCCCGAAGCCUCUCUUCUCCAUAUGAAUUUAUCCAAUUCUUUCUCAAGUGGGAGGGGAAUACACAAAAUUCUUAGUGUGUUGUCUUGGUGGAAGGUACGUUGAAUAAACUCUUGCUUCCAUCGGUUUGUAUCUUGCUCAAUUAGUUUAAAAACUAACACAAGAUUUUAGGUACUGCCUGGAUUUUGAAUCUUGUAGUCAACUGAGCACGGAACCCAUGCAUCAUUCCAGAUUUGUAUUUGAGUUCCCGAUCCAACUCGCCAGCCCAUCCCUUUCUCAAGAAGUCAUUUUGCCGACCAAAGGCUUCGCCAGGUAUAUAACAGUAAAUUCUCUAACCUUGCAUGCAUAAAGUCUGAAUUUGGGCAAUAUUUGGCUUUUAAAGAUUUGGCUAAUAAUGAAUCCGGAUAAUAAAUCAAACGCCAACUCUGUUUAGCUAGCAUUGCCACAUUAAAUUUUGAAAGGCAUCGAAAUUUUAUUCCUCCAUCCUUUUUUAAUUCACCAAGCUUACUCCAUUCACACCAGUGUAUGCAACGUUUUUCAGAACUUUUUUGCCACUAGAAUUGACUCAUAAUAUUUUCAAAAUCUUUGCAUAAUAAUUUUGGCAGCAGAAAACAUGCCAUUGUGUAGGUUGGAAUAGCCUGUAAAACUGUUUUUAUAAAGACCUCCUUUCCUCCCAUUGACAAGAAUCUAGUGCUCCACCCUCAAACCUUACUAAUCAUCUUGUCCUUUAAAUUUUGGAAAGAUAUUUUCUUAUCCUUUCCAACCAUAUUUGGUAAUCCUAAAUAUUUUUCUGGAUUUUUGAAGCUUUGAACACCCAAUAUGUUAGCUACUUGUUCCCGAAUUUGCUUAGAGACAUUUGUACUAAAAUAUGCCAUUGACUUUUCGAAAUUAAUACAUUGCCCUGAGCAUACCUGAUACUCUCGUAAAACAUCUUUUAGAUUAUUAGUUACUCUAAUUGUUGCGUUCUCAAAAAGAAUGCAAUUAUUUGCAAACAAUAAGUAUGUAAUUGGGGACCUCUUCGGCAAACCUUUGCUCCCUUUAUAGAGCCUUCCCUAGCUGUAAGCCUCAUCAAAGAUGAUAAUCCUUCACUAAAAAUUAAAAAUAGAUAUGGGAUUAAAGGAUCACCUUGACGCAAACCCUCACUGGGCUGAACUUUUCACCCCUCACCCCAUUCAAACAAACAGAAUAUUUAGUUGUUUUUACACAUUUCAUGAUUAAAGACACAAAAGACUUUGCAAAUCCCAUUUUUUGCAUGACUUUUUUCCAAAUAAAGCCACUUCACCUUGUCACAUGCCUUACUCAUAUCCAGUUUUAAGGCUAAGCUCCUAUUAUUACCUAUUCUCUUUUGUUUUAAUGUUUGCAUUAAUUCAUAAGCCGAUAGAAUAUUAUCAGUGAUGAGUCUGCAUGGAACAAAUGCGCUUUGGGCCUUAUCAAUGCAUUUAUCAAGAAUUUGUUGGAGCCUAUUAGCAAUUGUCUUAGCGAUAAUAUUGUACAUAACUGUGCAUAGACUAAUAGGUUGGAAAUUCUUGAGAUUGGUAAGAUUUGCUACUUUCGGUAUAAGCUCAAUAUUUGUUAUAUUAAUACCAUCAAUCGGCUCUCUCUCAUUUAAAAUCUUGAGACAAAAAUCACCAACUUUUUUUCUAGUAAUAUUCCAAAAUCUUUGGAAAAUAAAGCUGAAAAGCCAUCACAUCCAGCUGCUUUUGUUGGUCCCAUACUUUGAAGUGCUGAAAAAACUUCAUCACUAGUAAAAGCUUUACUUAGCAUAUCAUCCAUAGAAUCUGAGAUGUGUGUACCUAUUCCUGAAAAAAUGUAUUCAAGAUUACCAACACCUCCGGAAGAGAAUAGAUUUUCAAAAUAUGGUUUAGUCACCUCCUCCAUUGCUCUUCUAUUAGAAACUAACUGACCAUGUUCAUUCUUCAGUUCUUCAAUUCUGUUUCCUCUUCUUCUAUGGGAAGCAAAAUUGUGAAAAAAAUUUGUAUUCCUGUCUUCUUCUUUCAACCAAUUCAGCCUAGCUUGUUGCUCCCAAUAUUUCUCUUCUUUAUCAAUUUCCAAAUUUAAAUGGAUUUUAGCUUCGAUUAAGUCAGCCAAGUUGUUAGCCGUUCUUUCUAUUCCAUCAAAGUAUUCAAUACGGCCUAAUAGGUUUUCUGUCAAGCCUCUCCUUGACUUCCUGAUUCCCAUAGCCCACCUUUGCAAUCCUUUGCCAACCAAUGUUAAUUUCUCCAUUACUCCUCCAUUAGACAGUGUCCAAAGUUUUUUUACUUCCAUCUCACGCGAAUCUUCCAUAAACCACCAUGCUUCAAAUAUGAAUUUUACCAUUCUCUUAAACAUCUCUUCAAUUUUUGUUUGUAAAAAGAAAAGACAAUGGUCCGAGCAAGAAUGAGGCAAAUGUUGCAUUUUAAAUUUAGGGAUUAAUUCUAACCAAUUUUUGUUUGCAACUCCUCUAUCCAGUCGUUUUUUUAUGUUUGUUGUUGAAAGAUUACCACGUUCCCAUGUAAACUAUUUUCCUGCAUAGCCCACGUCUUCUAGACGACAAUCAUUAAGAACUUGACAAAAUUUUUCCAUUCGGCCUUCAUCCUUUGGUAAGCCCCCUUCCUUUUCAAAAGCAUAUAAAAUCUCAUUGAAGUCGCCACAAACUAACCAAUUUGACUCAUGUUCUCUCCCUAAUCUCCUUAGAAUAUCCCAACCCUCGCUUCUUCCACAAGCCUCCGAUGCAUCAUAGAAGUCGAUCAAUCUCCAAUUUACCCUAAUUUCAUUGUCCUCAAUAUUGACAUCAAUAUGAUGUUUGGAAAGAUUCUUAAAUUGAUUGUUACAUCACUUUUCCAACCAAGACUUAACCCUCAUCUCAUUUCCACUAUCGGAACAUCAAUACUAUAAGUAAAUCCACACCAUUGUCGAACACUUUCCAUUCGGGAAUUAUUUAACUGUCUCCAUAAAGAAGACAAUUUGAGGAUUAUAUGUUUUCAGCAUAUGUUGAAGUCUUUUAACGCCAUGUGGACUCCCUAAUCCAUAGACUUUCCAACUUAAAAUUUUCAUUGUGUCCAGUCGGCUUGCCUAUUGGUAGCCGCCAAUUUCUGAUUUUUAUAAUGGGUUUCUCUUCGUUCCCCUUGACCAUCCACAACUAUAUGACUUCCUGACCUAAGCCUCUUUUUUCUUUCCUCGUUCUCUAAUGGAAUCUCUUACAUAUCCUCUAUCAUAUCUUCCGUCUGUCCAUCACUUUUACCUUUAGCACUAAAACCCAGUUCUUGACUCAAAUUAAUAAUUUUACAAUCAUCUUUCUUACCAAUCCCCCUCCCAAAAUUAUUUCCUAUAUUAUCUUCCCGUAACCAGGCGCUUCGAGUAAUACUCGUCCUCCUAGGUUGAGCCCUAAGUGUAGUAUCCCAUCUAAAUUCCACUUCUCUUAAUCUUAUGUCAAUCCUUUUUUGACAAAAUUUGUCUACAUGUCCCAAACAUCCACAAAGAAAGCAAAACAAAGACAAUUUUUCAUAACGAAAUUUUACUAAAACCAGAUCUGAAUGAGGGAUCAAAAUCUUCUUUUUCCUCGAGUGGAUUUCUAAUAUCAAUCUGAACUCUAAUUCGCAUAUAGUUUCUAAAGCCUUGAUUAAGCUGUUCGGUGUCAUGUUUCAAAAAUUUGCCAAUAAAAUUUCCCAAUAAUUUUGCCACAUUAUCAGUAAAAAAAACCCGGUGGAAGAUUAUGAAUUUGUACCCAAAAAUCAGAAAAAACUAAUGGAACAGAACUCGGAUCCUCACCAUUUUUUAAUUUAUAAAGGAUAAAGAAAUGAUUAUUAAAAGUCCAAGGUGUUCCACUUAUUACCUGUUCCAAAUCAACCUCAUAGAAAAAUCUGAAUAAAUACAUUUUUUCUCCAAGUUCAGAGAUUUGAAUUCCCCCAACGGGUGCCAUAAAUUAGCCAUCUUAUUUUUCAUGGCCAAAAAAUUAACCUCAUUUGCUGUGAGGGCACAUCCAGCUAAGCAUAAAUCAUAUAUUGAUUGUUGAGGUCCUUCCUCUGCUGCAAAUUGAAGCCCUUCGUCUUCGUCGUCUUCUUCAUCCAGACUCAAAUUUGCCAAAUCAAUAUCCACUAAUGCCAUCUUCAAUCCUGUGCACUAUUUUCCAAUGAAAAAAAAAAAAGAGAACUUGAAAUUUAUUGUCGACAGAAAUUGCUAAUCACCUAAUCGAAAUCACAUUCAAAACCCUAGACUUUGCUAGCCAAGACCGUGCCACUCAUCGGACAGACUUAAAAAAACAAACAAACAAAUCUUUAAAGCUAAAAAAUAAAAAGUUUAACUCUUUAAAAAUAAAAAAUGAAUUAAAAUAUAUUUUAACUUUUAUAAUUUUACAGAAAAUGAUACUAAUUAUUUCAACAUAGAUGGUACGGACAGUUUGAAUCGACAUAUUAAAUUUGAUGAGGUAUUUUUUAGGCAGAGUACAAACCAGUCAGUUUUCUAUACUUCAUGCUUCCAACCACUGGGGACCACACAGAUUCCUCCGCAACCAAUACAUCAUUCGCAUUAAUCCAGUCCAAGAUGUUAUUUUACAUGAGAAAAACACUUACCAAUUCCUCUAUAGAUUAUUACCUUCAAAAUCAACACUCCUAGCUCAAUCAUAAACUUGGGAGUUUGAACAUUUUGAUAUCUUAUGCACAAGUCUGAAUUUAUGAGCUCUUUCACAAAUUUAAUAAUUAUUUAAAAUAUUACUCUUAAAUAAAUUUAGAUAAAUAGUUGUUCAAGUUCAUUUGAACUUAGACAGUCAUGUAUCUUUGUUCAUUGUAGAUAUUGUUUUUAAUAAUAUUUAAUAAUUUUUUAUUGUUUUAAAAUAAUUUUUUAUGUCCAAAUUUAUUUUGGGCUUGAGUUUUUAAAUAAUUAUUUUAUUUAGUAAUUUUUAAAAUAUUUGUCGAUGUGGCAAAUAUAGUACACCAUAUGUCAUUGUCGGGUUGUUUUGUCAAUCAUAUAUUACUUAAUCACAAAAAUAGGUAGAAUUUUUAACUGAAUCACCAAUUUUCUCUUUAAUCUAAAAUAUAAUUAUUAAUUUAUAUAUUUUUUAAAAAAUAUAUAUAUAAAAUACAAUCUAACUCUUAAUAUAGAGACUUUUAUUAUACUUAAUUUUCUCUCAUAAUUAUCAAAUUCAUUUAGAUUUAUCUACUCCAAUCCAUAGUUUUACUUGUGCAUCACUCGAAAAAGGAAAGUUUAAAAGGUUAUUUGUAUUUUAAUUCAUUAAAGCGACAAUCCAAAAAGAAAAUAAAUAAAGUAAACCUUCAAGUCUGAUAAUAUUGCACUGAUACAUAGCCGCUGGGACUAAAAUUUAGAGACGGAAACCUAUACCAAAUGAUGUUUUACUGGAAAGUGAUUUUGGUGGGAGAUGUUUAAGGUUUCCGAGUUGAUUCUAUAAUAUAAUAUUUAAUGUAUUAUCGAAUUUUAGACAUCAUAAAUAAAUAAAUAAUAAUAUAAUAUAUCAUCAUUUAAAAAAAAUAAAAAUGAGUGAAAAGUUUAUAAAUAAAUAAUAAUAAUUUAAAUAUAAUUAAAUAUUGUAAAUAAAUAUUAAUAAUUAUCGAGGUUUUAAGGUGUAAAUAUUUUUUAUCAUUAAUUAAUACUUAAUUAUGUUUAAAUAAAAUUGUUAGGAACUCUUAUAUUGUUUUCAUUUAAUGAUGAUAUGUCAUUUUUUCAGUAGAAAUAUAUUAUAUUAUUAUGCAUUGACGGUACAUAAGACUUAAAUAUUAUUCUCAUAGUUAUUUAAGUUGAGUCCAAGAAAUAUGGGUUUAAAUCUUUUCCUAGCUUGUCCAUAUAUGUACUAAUAGUUAACUCAAACUCAUUAGAACAAUCCACAUUAUUAUAUUAAAAAUUUUUAAUAAAACUAUUUAAUAAUUAUAAUGUAUUUUUUUUCUUAUUUGAUUUAUACUAUUACAUAUUUAGUUUUUAUAUAAUUUAAAUUACAUAAAAUUAAAAAACAACUCUAGCGGCCACUGGACCUUAAAUAUUAAUAUCCAAUCCUGAUUUAUCUUAAAACAUAUUGUUUAAGUUAUGUUUUUUAGCUGCAAGCCUUUGAGUUUUGAUAAGUAAACCCUAAUUCUAAGGUAUUAGAGAAAUAAAAACUGAAAAAGUCAAUUAAUUUUGCAACAAAAGAAUUUAUUCAUAGAAUUGAAUUUUCCUCGGUUCUGAACUUCGGAGCUUGAAUUGAAGGUGAAAACCCUAAACAAUUAACUGUUUGACACUGCUUUGUAAUGGAACAUUUUAUUUUUUAUUUUUUUUUGUUCAACGUAACGAAGGUAAACAGAUUGAAGGUGAAAAUCCUAAAAAAUUAAAUUUGAUUAAGUAUUUAUUAGCAUAAGGCUCCAACUUUUUUUAUAUAGGACACUUCCACCUAGUUUUGUACUAGAAUUCCUGUCAGUAAAAGCUUCCUUAGUUUGUAGCUCCAGUAAUGGAAUAAGAGACGUAUGUUUUGUCGGGCAACAGUGAGUUGCACAGGACGUUCGAAGUUUUACCAAUAAAUAUCUUUUAUAAUAUAUAUAUAUUUUGAAUGCGUCCAUGGAAGUUUCUUACACCAUGAUCAGCAUUUCACAUGUAUGUGUUCUCUUCGGUCCACUUGCCAAUUCUGUUGGGUAUGGGUCUCAUUGAGAAACCCAUAAUUUCUGCCACAUUUUAUUGUCUCUUUUUUUGUUUUGUCAAAAGCCAUUUUUUGAGGCUUUUAACAUGGGCAGAAAUUUUUGAGAGCCAAAAAAAUCUCAAAUUAAAACAGAGAGAAAGAGAGAAGAAAAUUUUAAUUUUUCAAGUUUGGUGCAGCAGUGAUCAACUCUUCGAUCGAAGGUUCAUCCAUGGUUCGAUUGAGCUGAUUUUUGGACAGCAGCUAGGCGAUAAGGUGUUCUUAACUUUGUACGGUCGGAUUUUUCAUCCGAGUCUUGUAGCUUCGAAAAUAUCCAUUUUUUCAGCAGCUGCGUUUUGGUGAUAUUCUCUCAUUUUUCUCUCUUUUGCUAAAGAUUACAUAUUGUUAGCCUUAUUGGAGUUGAAUGCUUGUUGUAGGCUUGAUAUUGUGAUCUUGUAGUUGAACAUUUGAUGAUAGUAGAGCUCUUGAUCGGACUCUGAAGUCCCGUGGUUUUUUACCCUUGAUUUAGAGGGGUUUUCCACGAAAAAAUACCGGUGUCUCUAUUUAUUUUUGUUGUGGUUGCAUUAGUUGAUUUAUGGUUGAUUAUGGUUGCUAGAGAACAUAUCUUGUACUAUUGUGCUAGCCAUAAUUUUUGACAGGAGUUAUAGGGAGAGAAAGAACACCGGUUGUGCUUUCGCUUUGUUUCGGUUGUUCAAUUUCUUCCCAACAAACUGGUAUCAGAGCUUGGUUAUUGUGUUAGAUAAUUAUGGAAAUUAAUACGAGCAAGAUGAUUAUGUUGAAUGGCACAAAUUAUCAACUUUGGCGGAAUAAAAUGAAGGACUUGUUGUUUGUGAAGGCUUUGCAUCUUCCGGUCUUUACAACUCAAAAACCCGAUUCGAAAAGUGAUGAAGAAUGGGAAUUUGAGCAUCAACAAGUGUGUGGCUUUAUUCGACAAUUUGUUGAAGAAAAUGUUUACAACCACAUUGAUCAGGAGACACAUGCUCGAACAUUGUGGGAGAAGCUUGAAAGCUUGUAUGCUUCGAGGUCGGGCAAUAACAAGUUGUUUUGCUGAAGAAAAUGAUGGCGUUGAAAUACAAAGAAGGAAUGUUUAUAGCGGACCACGUUAGUGAAUUUCAGAGUGUGAUGAAUCAGUUGCUUGGUAUGGGUGUCAAAUUUGAUGACGAGAUUUUAGGGCUUUGGUUGCUUGCUACUUUACCAGACUCUUGGGAGACCUUUCGGGUCUCGCUCAUUAAUUCUGCCCCACAGGGUAUUAUUACUUUGGAUUUGGCUAAGAGUGGUGUGUUGAAUGAAGAGGUUAGAAGAAGAUCUCAGGGUUCUACAUCACAGUCCGAGGUGUUGGUUAUCGAGAACAGGGGGAGAAACGGAGACAAAGAUGGAAAGGGUAGAGAUAAAAGCCGAAGCAAGUCAAGAUCGAGAUACAAGAAUCUUGAGUGUCAUCAUUGUGGUAAGAAAGGUCAUAUCAAGAAAUAUUGCUUCAAGUGGAAGAAAGAGAACAAAGGUGGUGGUGAUAAACACGAUCAGAAUGACGAUAAAAAAUUCGAGCGUGUUGCUACUGUUACUCGUGAAGAUCUAUUAGUUAUUUGUGAUGAGAAUUUGGUUAACCUAGCAUGCGACGAGACUAGUUGGGUGAUUGAUACUGGUGCAUCACUUCAUGUCACGUCGAGGAAGGAAUUCUUCACAUCUUAUACUCCUGGUGAUUUUGGGGUACUGAAGAUGGGUAAUGACGGUUUGGUUUCGGUUAUUGGUAUGGGAGAUGUUAGCUUGGUGAGUAACAAUGGAACAAAGUUAACUCUCAAGGAUGUCAGACAUGCACCGGAUAUCCAUUUGAAUUUGAUUUCUACAGGAAAGCUUGAUGAUGAGGGAUUUUGUAACACCUUCAAUGAAGGGCAAUGGAAGCUGACUAAAGGCUCCUUGGUUGUGGCUCGAGGAAAGAAGAGCUCAAAUUUGUACUUGAUGCAAGCUUUGACUUCUUGAGAAAUGGUGAAUGUGACAGCGAAUGACAGCUCAAAUGAGUUGUGGCAUAAAUGACUUAGUCACAUAAGUGAGAAGGGGCUUAACUGUUUAGCGAAGAAGAAUCAACUUUCGGGUUUAAAGAAUGCUACACUGAAGAAUUGUGCUCAUUGUCUAGCAAGAAAGCAGAGAAGAGUUUCAUUUAGAAGCCAUCCUCCUCAUAGGAAAUCAAAGUUGCUAGAGUUGGUCCAUUCAGAUGUUUGUGGUCCGAUAAAAGUAAGAUCACAUGGUGGUGCACUUUACUUUGUGACUUUCAUUGAUGAUUGUUCAAGAAAGCUAUGGGUUUACACUUUGAAGUCUAAAAAUCAAGUCUUUGAGGUGUUUAAAGAGUUUCAAGCAUCAGUUGAAAGGGAAACUGGGAAGAAGUUGAAGUGCAUUCGUACUGAUAAUGGUGGCAAGUACACAUGGUCGUUUCAUAAGCAUUGUCUGUGACAAGGAAUCAGACAUCAGAGAACACCACCAAAGACUCUACAGUUAAAUGGGUUAGCUGAAAGAAUGAACCGAACAUUGAUUGAGAGAGUCAGAUGUUUGUUGUCAGAUGCAAAGUUGCCAAGAUCGUUUUAGGCUGAAGCUUUGAAUAUAGUGACACAUGUGAUAAAUCUGUCUCCUAGUGUUCCUUUGAAAGGUGAUGUGUCAGAUAGAGUUUGGUUUGGUAAAGACGUGUCAUAUGAUCACCUACGUGUGUUCGGUUGUAAAUCAUUUGUUCAUGUUCCAAAUGAUGAAAGAUUCAAGUUGGAUGCCAAGGCUCGACAAUGCAUUUUUAUUGGUUAUGGUCUAGAUGGUGAGUUUGGUUAUAGACUCUAUGAUCCAGUUCAGAAGAAACUCGUGAGAAGCAGAGAUGUUGUCUU
rnacentral:lncRNA from 1 species